rnacentral:lncRNA from 1 species
UCAACUACGCAAUGUAAGGUGGACCAAUACAUGUGUUUGCCCCAGCAAAACACCAUCCAACACAACUGACUUCCCAAAGAACCAUGUGGAAGGCUUUCUUGUCUGUGUUUCUUUUUAGAUUUGGAAAAGUCCAUCCUUCAAGGGCCUCAUUUGUGCUGUUCACGGUGAUAGGGUUUCCGUAUCUGGCCUACACACAAACACAAAUACACAGACAGCCUCUCUCUCUCUCUCUUUCACUUACACACAAACACAAUACACACACACACUUUUGUGCACAUAAACUUUUUAUUUUUCAUUUUUCUUUUCUUAAUUUCUCUAGACAAGGUUUCUCUGUAUAGCCUGACUGUCCUGGAACUCAUUCUGUAGACCAGGCUGACCUCAAACUUGGAGACUCACCUGCCUCUGCCUCCUGAGAGCUGAGAUUAAAGGCUUGGACCACUCAGUCAUUAUUUUUAAAGUGAGGAGCUGAUACAUAUUAUAUUUAUCAAAUCCCAGUUUACAGCCUAUAUUUGAAUUGGUGAUGUUUUAGAGAUUUAGUGUGUAAAUAAAAAUCAGCUGGUGUUAAACAGUAACUUUGGAGAACAUUUUCUGUUGCCAGACUCUCUCGACCCACCAGCUUCCAACAUAAUUCUUGGAGGAUUUUUAGUAAUUAUGGAAGCUUUAGGCCUUUGCUGCCUUGUUCCCAACUAGCUGGUAUAACUUAUAUUAACCCAUUUCUUCUGUUCUGUGUCCUGCCACGUGGCUCAUUGGCUCUCCUCAGCAUGGGCACCUGGAUGGGGCAAUCCUCCCACCUCUGACUCCUCCUCGGCAUUCUAUCGUCUGCUGCUUUCCUCCUCUCGGCUGUUCAGCUCCUUAUUAAACCAAUCAGACGGUGAUGGAGAAGAUGCUUACAAAACUCGGAGACGGGUGAAACUUCAUAGAAAUAAGAGUACCAAAGUCCGGCCUGUACUCAAGUACAAAAAUCAACAUUUGAACAAUACAAAGACAAUCCUUAAACAGUGCACAAAAGAUUAGCCCAACAGUUUUCUUAUUCUAUAUUUACAUUAAGAAGUCUUCAGGGAAAUGACUCAGUCAUUAAGAGUAUUUCUCUUCCAGAAGAUCUGGGUUCAAUUUCUAGAACCCACAUAGGGACAUAGAAACCACCUCUAGCUCCAGUUUCAGGCAAUCUGAUGCCCUCUUCUGGAGAGCAAAAAAACCUCACACAC